CAGUAGCCGCGGGAAUACGUAGGUGGCAAGCGUUGUCCGGAAUUAUUGGGCGUAAAGGGCUCGCAGGCGGUUUCUUAAGUCUGGUGUGAAAGCCCCCGGCUCAACCGGGGAGGGUCAUUGGAAACCGGGAAACUUGAGUGCAGAAGAGGAGAGUGGAAUUCCACGUGUAGCAGUGAAAUGCGUAGAGAUGUGGAGGAACACCAGUGGCGAAGGCGACUCUCUGGUCUGUAACUGACGCUGAGGAGCGAAAGCGUGGGGAGCGAACAGGAUUAGAUACCCCAGUAGUCCCUGUCUCUUAUAC
rnacentral:rRNA from 1 species